rnacentral:rRNA from 1 species
GCGUUGUCCGGAUUUAUUGGGCGUAAAGCGCGCGCAGGUGGUGCGGUAAGUCUGCCGUGAAAUCUCCCGGCUCAACUGGGAGGGUGCGGUGGAGACUGCCGGACUAGAGGUACCUAGAGGCCGGUGGAAUUCCCGGUGUAGUGGUGAAAUGCGUAGAGAUCGGGAGGAACACCAGUGGCGAAGGCGGCCGGCUGGGGGUGACCUGACGCUGAGGCGCGAAAGCGUG